rnacentral:rRNA from 1 species
AAACGCUUGAAGUCAGUCGCGUCGGCCGGAACUCAGCCUCGAUUUGGCUCGGGGUGCACUUUCCGGCCCGACGGGCCAGCAUCGGUUUCGGGUGGCGGACACUGGCGAGGGGAAGGUGGCGGCUCCGGCCGCGUUAUAGCCCCCCGUCCCGAACGCCGCCUGGGACCGAGGAAUCCGGCGCGAGCCUGGGAUGCUGGCGUAAUGGCUUUAAACGA